rnacentral:rRNA from 2 species
GGAUGCGAUCAUACCAGCAUUAAAGCAUGGGAUUCCAUCAGAACUCCAAAGUGAAGCGUGCUUGGGCGAGAGUAGUACUAGGAUGGGUGAUCUCCUGGGAAGUCCUCGUGUUGCAUUCC